GGCUACUCACAAAUAUUUCACUGAUUCACAUCAGCUCUUAUUUAAGUAGGGGGCUGACUGAAAUUCAUAAACUAUCCCUCCACCCCUACAUUUCUCCAUCUGUCUACCCAUAUAUUUAUCCUGAGAGGACAAACACAAAUAAGGGAGAGAUUGAGGGUUACCUGCAUUUACAAUGUGUGCAUUUCAUUUAUGAUGGCAGUAGACUAUAAAACUACUCUAUAUGUCUUUGUCUUUCUCUGAAUUUGACAAAAAAAAAGUCAAAAGUCAAGAUAACUGAAACCAACACCAGAAGGAAAAAUCUGCAAAAAGACAUGACAAGAAAGGAUAUACACAGUGAACGAGAAAUUAUGCCUUUCUGACAAUAAGAAUCCUGCAUCCCGCUGACUCAAACUGGGCACAAGAAUCGCAUGGUUUGUUUGGAGGAGAGCAUACCCUAAGGGACUGUCUGAGUGGGUCGAUGAACAUGAGCAUUAAAGAGGAAAAGCGAGACGAUGGAUGAUGAAUAGGUGGAUGGAUGCGUGGAAGAGCUCUAGGUCUUUUCUGAAAGGAGACAAUACUGUUACAUGAUCCCAAUCCAGCCCGAAGCACACACAAAGAGGAAAUGCUUAUCGACAAAGAGCCUACCGGUGGCAUAGAUGAGUGUGUUUUCUACAUAAUUCACACACUUGUCCCAGCGAGGGGUCAGAGAGGUGGUGCC